rnacentral:misc_RNA from 1 species
UCUCCGUUGGUGAACCAGCGGAGGGAUCAUUACCGAGUUUACAACUCCCAAACCCCAUGUGAACCUUACCUAACGUUGCUUCGGCGGGAUGCCCCGGGCGCGGGCCGCAAGGCCCCAGCCCCGGAACCGGGCGCCCGCCGGAGGCCCAAACCAAACGCUUGUUUUUGUAGAAUCUUCUGAGUGGCCGUUUAGGCAAAAAAUGAAUCAAAACUUUCAACAACGGAUCUCUUGGUUCUG